ensembl:lncRNA
GACAAAAGCAAGUUCUACAGAGAGAGAUCACAUGGUGAGAGAGGCAGCAAGACGGAGACCAAAUUUGCUUUACAAAAUCAUAUCCUCUCAAGAACUAAUCUACCCUGGAAUAACAGCAUUAAUCCCUUCUGAGGAUGGAACUUCCGUGACCUAACAACCUGCACAAGGCUCACCUCUUACAGGCUCUCCCACUUCCACAUUGCCUCCCUGGGGAACAAGGUUCCAGCACAGGAGUCUUUAAGGAACACACUCUAACAACAUCCAAACCACAGCAAUUUGUAUAGCCAGCCUCUCAGCAUUCACUGAGUUCUUGAAGCUAAGAGGUAAUCCUUUAUGCAACAGAGUGCUUCAUGGCUCAAGAAUAUGGAUGCUGGUAAUUCACAUAUGCCACGGAGAAGCUGUGAAAUGUUUCCUUUAAAUGAAAAGACAUCCUGCUUUCAGAUGUCUGAUCAAAGGGCACUUAAAUAUCUGAUGGUUCAAAAGGACUAACUCUGAAGAAACUCUGACCCCAGGGAUUAUUCUACUCUGCCAUCCCUUGUUGAAAUCUCCUCAUCACUGUGUUGCUCAGGACUUUCUUUCUGACUUGUCCUGGACAAAAGAUGGUGCUGACAAAGGUGUUCAAACUUUGUCCUCAAAACAACUGUAUGCUGUUUUGCCAAAACAAACAGCCCUCCACUCUACAUGAACCUCCUGGACUUGAAUUUGUUCCUUCUCAGACCUAGAGACCCACUCUACCGCCUAACCAUAUCCAAACUCCCACUUCAGCUUCUCUGAUGGUGCCAUGUUGAAUACGGUCCACUGAGUUUCAUGGAUCCCCAUACACACACUGUUAGAAGACACCCUUCCUAGGACUCUGCUUGCCUGUGAUUCUUGCCUCAGUCUCUGAGCAUCAGACACCUUCCUACUAUGAUAGUUGCCCUUAAUAACACUUUUUCUCACUUAAUUUGACUUUUUUUGCUCCUUAACAUGGCAUAAGAUAUCCUUUAGGAUUUGCUUUGGGAGAGGUGAAAUAUAAAAAGUUGUCGAGAAAUGUGAAUAUUUAAUUAAAUGGGAUACUGGAUUACCAAGGAACAAUACUUGGUUCCCUGUUUAAUCCAAAUGACAUUAAGAGAUUUUUAAGGCAGAUGAGAGAAGUAACAAGAUUAUUUUAAAAUCCAACUUUUUUAAGUGAAGACUUUGUUUUCUUUAAUAAUGAAGGACAUGUUAAAGUCAACACCAAGCAUAAGAAAUUAUUCUGAUGAGACCUUGAAUAUUUAUAGUCUGUGAAAAUUACUCAGAAAAUAAAGGAAAGUCUCUUACAAACUUGUAUUGAAAAGAUCACUAGCCAACAAAAUAUAUGAUUUUAAUAGAAAGAAAC